CCCCUUCUUUCUCUAGGAUUCGUUCCUGUUUCCUGAAGAGCCUGCGGCAGGACUUUCCUGUUGUGAUGUCGGGGGAUCUCUAGACUAGCAUUUGCAGGUCCUUCAAGAUGAUAAGGUCCGGAGAGAGAGAUCGACGACAGAGGGCUUGCAUCACACAUGGGAACAUGGGAAGGCUCAAUUGCAAGUAGUUCCAAGUAACGGAAGAAAUAAAAGGUCCAAUUCCUCAUUUAGCCAGGCAUGGAAGAUUGCCACUAGUUUGAGGCCAGUCUGGGUUACAGAGUGAGACCUUGUCUCAAAAACAAACAAGAAACAUGAACCCAGACGGGCAGGAACUAUGGACUUGUGGAAGGAGCCCUGGUCAAGCAUUCAGCAGCUCCACACGGUUCAGUGCCAUCAGAAGUGCCAUAAAGAUCUGCAAAGACGAGAUGCCCCCAUGUUCUCGUUUUCAUCGGCUUGGAGAAGGACUCAAGUGAUAGUGACCCUCAGCUUUGAAGGACUUGAAGGAGUUAGGCAGGAAGAGAAAAGGAGGAAAGACAUGCCACCCCCACCCCCCAGACAGCCCUGAACACAAAAGCUGCCCUGCUGCACUCAGAGAACUGAAAACAGUUGAACCCAGCAGGAGCGCUUGGUGUGGGAGCCUGUGUCCACAGAAGAGAGUGUGGGUUUGGACUCUGACCCGCCUCGUGAGUCACGAUCUGCUCAGCGAAAGGCAAAGAGGCACAGGAGUCUGACAUUGGGGAGCAUGGUGCCGCUACAAAUGUCUCAGUGACUUUGAUGUGCCCCAUUCACCCUGACGGAUGAUCACAGGGACAACUCCAACUCAGAGCACACAAAUUCAGGACUUCCUUUUGCUGCACUUCCCACAAUGUCCCUUUUCACUGCACUUCCCACAAUGUCCAUGGCAUUAAGCAGAAACAUGGAUGACCACUUUGUCCACUGCUGGCAUGGGCGCCAUUUCCUCAGUGAUGCUAUGCCUCCUUCUGGAGGCUUCUAGUAAUAUAUAGGUUAAUUCUCAGUAUGUUGUUCUAGUUAUACCCAAAGUUUUACCAUGCUGAUAAACGUUCUUCAGGGAUUUGGGACACCAUGAGGUCUAACUUCUUUAAAAAUAAAUUUUCUAUUCUAUUGAUUUUGGAAAA